rnacentral:snoRNA from 1 species
AGUCAAUAAAUAAAUGUAAUAGAUGGUUUAAAAUACUUUUUAAGAUAGCAACUUGGAAGAAAGCCAGGCAUGCCCAGGGUCUCUGCUGAAUAAGGAAUACUUGUUUCCUUUGUCUUCCUGAGGCUGCCUACAUGU